rnacentral:rRNA from 1 species
UCCCGAGCGUUNUCCGGAUUUAUUGGGCGUAAAGCGAGCGCAGGCGGUUAGAUAAGUNUGAAGUUAAAGGCUGUGGCUUAACCAUAGUACGCUUUGGAAACUGUUUAACUUGAGUGCAGAAGGGGAGAGUGGAAUUCCAUGUGUAGCGGUGAAAUGCGUAGAUAUAUGGAGGAACACCNGUGGCGAAAGCGGCUCUCUGGUCUGUAACUGACGCUGAGGCUNGAAAGCGUGGGGAGCGAACAGGAUUAGAUACCCUGGUAGUCCACGCCGUAAACGAUGAGUGCUAGGUGUUAGGCCCUUUCCGGGGCUUAGUGCCGCAGCUAACGCAUUAAGCACUCCGCCUGGGGAGUACGACCGCAAGGUUGAAACUCAAAGGAAUUGACGGGGGCCCGCACAAGCGGUGGAGCAUGUGGUUUAAUUCGAAGCAACGCGAAGAACCUUACCAGGUCUUGACAUCCCGAUGCCCGCUCUAGAGAUAGAGUUUUACUUCGGUACAUCGGUGACAGGUGGUGCAUGGUUGUCGUCAGCUCGUGUCGUGAGAUGUUGGGUUAAGUCCCGCAACGAGCGCAACCCUUAUUGUUAGUUGCCAUCAUUCAGUUGGGCACUCUAGCGAGACUGCCGGUAAUAAACCGGAGGAAGGUGGGGAUGACGUCAAAUCAUCAUGCCCCUUAUGACCUGGGCUACACACGUGCUACAAUGGCUGGUACAACGAGUCGCAAGUCGGUGACGGCAAGCUAAUCUCUUAAAGCCAGUCUCAGUUCGGAUUGUAGGCUGCAACUCGCCUACAUGAAGUCGGAAUCGCUAGUAAUCGCGGAUCAGCACGCCGCGGUGAAUACGUUCCCGGGCCUUGUACACACCGCCCGUCACACCACGAGAGUUUGUAACACCCGAAGUCGGUGAGGUAACCUUUUAGGAGC